rnacentral:misc_RNA from 1 species
GACAACAUCGCAAGCACAACGUGUCAUCAAAGACAAAGAACAGUCAGUUUAUAAAUGGCUUUCCCAUGAUCUUCAAGCCAGAUGAAAAAGAAAUAGCUGUUAAGGAUAACUACUACCUGGUAACUGCUAUAAGUUCGCAUGAAUUUACCUGGCUGUUGAAAUUCGUCGAUACGUUAUUCAGUCAUGGUGGUGAACUUGAAUUGAUAGUAUGGAGCUUAGAUAUUCGCGAUUGCGAGUUUAAUUACGUGAAAAAUCUAAAUACUCCAUUUCGAAUACAUUUACACCGUUUUCCAUAUCAUUUUCACCCACUGCAUUUACGAUACUACCAUUUAAAUGCAAUAAAACCAAUCGUUUUGGAAUCUGCCUCUCUUACGUAUGGUGAAAUUAUUUGGAUAGAACCUUCUGUCAAAUUACCUUUACAACUGGAUAAUAUUAUUGAAAUCCUCAGCGACAAAAGUUUUAUUGCAGCGAGUAGUUCCAAUCCAUCGGAUGCAGGACAUUGUCAGACCUAUGCCAUCGGCGUGAAUUACAUUCGGUUUAAAACCCUGAUUGAAGCAUGGGCACAAUGCGCGAGAAAACGUUCCUGCAUCGCAGCAGCAUUGAACCGUACAGAUCAUCACUCUGUGGUUGAUAUGUUCUUUGAGAAACGCAGAAAAGACAUGAGACUUCCUUGUACCGUAUUUAAUACUAAAGCAGUAGAAAUUAAAACUGAUGGAGUUCUAAAACAAUGGGAAAGCAACAAAGAAGACCGCUGCAAACAACACAAAGUUUGAGUUUUAACAGGAAGUCAUAGAACGCACGGAUGCUUAACUCCACAACUGGCUCGUCUUCGCCAGAAUAAACGGAAGUAUACCGAUCACCAUGGUUAUGUUUAUAUUGAAGAGGCGUUCGGGUUUCAUCGAAAUGCUCCCUGUCACAGAGUCUGGGAUAAAGUUCAUGCAAUUCUCAAACACUUGGCUGAAUGUAGGUUGCUGUUUUGGGUCGAUACGGACGCAAUUUUCUUGGAUAUGGACAGAACAUUAGAAUCUUUCUUUGAUGCUUAUCUGGGAAAAGAAUUUUUAGUAAGUUGGCCACGCACGGAUCGGAUGUUAAAUGCAGGUGUAUUGCUUAUGCGUAAUACGCCUACCAUGCACGAGUUUUUUCAAAAUAUAACAAAUGGAAAAACUUGGAAAAAUGACUGGUGUUCUCAUAGUAAGUUCGAGCAAGCCGCUAUCAGAGAUCAAUUGGAUAGUGGAAGUAUGGAUGGGAGAUUUGCAGUGGAACGCAGUAAUAUGUUACAAACGCUUUGCAGUUUUCGCAAUAAAGAAUGUGCUGUGACUAAGAAGGACUUUAUUGCCCAUUUUGCACCCCCAGACUGUCCGAAGUUACAUGACCUUGUUAAAACGUUCUUGGACGAUAACCAAAGUUUGAUAUGAUAAUGAUUUUCUCAUGAUAAGAACAUUUAAAGUAGCACAUUGAAUUGAGAUUUUGAGAUUUAUUAUUUUUUUGAAAACCGAGACUACCUAUUAGACUAUAAUCAAUCAACGACUUUGUCAUUAAAAGUGAAAGUAUACUCAAAGAAAAUAAAUUAGUAUACAACUGAUAAUUACGGCCCUGUUACCAUAUAUGCCUGUUACACGAUGCAUCUUGUUUGAUAUCAGAUGCCUCACAACGAUUGUACCAACUAUAAUGUAUUACAAUACUGAGCUAUCUAUAUAGUCGAGAGUGAAAUUGGAGUAUAUGUUACAAUUAAAUAUA